GCAUCUGUACACAGGCACAUCAACGAACUGGAAACAGCCUUGUUGCAAAAAAUAGCCAUCGCAAAGUAGGGAGCUUUACAGGUUUCAAGCAUGAUCAAACCAACAUAUACAGAUGUUUUAAAGUAGACAAAAUGUAAAGGAAAAUAGGAUAUAUAUAGUGCUCCUAAAACUACAGUGUCAUUGCUAAACAUGCCUUGUGGGUUUUCUAGAAGCCAAUGGAGAACCAACACUAUGUGAAGCUAGAGAAGUGCUCAUUUGCAAUGCAAUUAGAUACAGUUGCUCAUGCUGCUCAACUAUGCUUCAAUGCCAAACAGAGAUGCUACUACAUGAUUAUACUGUUCCCCAGGAAACCAAUUCCACACAUUCCAAUUUACUAGCUCCCAUUUAUACUUUUGAAGCAGCUGAUAAAAAAACAAUUUUUAAUGGCCAAGUGGUCGACACCAUAGUGUUGCAAGCUCCUGUUUUCUUCCUAAGGCGAAAGGGGUAGACACUGAGUUUGACACCAAACCACUGAGAGAUCCUGAAAAUCAACAGGGCCAAAGAACAAGAUGAACAUGGGGUUGGCAACUUUGUCAGUUUUCCAAAAUAAUCAAGGGAAACUACUAGUUUUAAAUUUAACAAGCCCCAACAGUCAUCUCCAGCUACCAACCAGUAUAAUGAAGCCUCAUCUAUAGAGGAAAAUGGAGCAUUGAGAACAUCAUCAAGUUUCAAGUCUUCAGGUAUGAAUGCAAGUCCUAAGGAAAGCAGAUCAUAUUCAAUCAAGCUCGGGCAAUACUCAUGCAAAUGGUGGAGAUUUGUUAUAUGUUUGCAUCGAGUUUAGCCCAUUAAAGGAAUCAGAGGAGUCCAUUCUAUUUCAAGCGACAAUUAGUUAGUUAGUCUCUUCUAACGGUAACUUUCUGUUUGGGAGGUAUAAUAGGUAUUAUCAUAUCUUUAUAUGUUUCCUUGUAUUAUCCGUCUCUAUUGUCUAUAAAUAGAGGGCAGGGGCAAUCACUUGAGUUAUUAUGAGGUGAACGAGUGGAUGUAUUUGAGAGAAAAGUCUAGAGAAUAUAGCAUUUGUAAUCUCGUGUUUCUGUUGUACUCGUGAGGGAGUACUUUGUACUGAUUGUUCAAGAUUGAUUAGUAAGAUUGCUCUUGAGGGGAUUAAAGGUUGGAUGUGGGAUCAUCUAACACUUUGGUGAUUUGAACCAAGAUAAUUGUUGGUGUUCUUCUUAUGGUUUGCUUUCUAUUCUUUAUCGUUUUCAUCCUAGUUUUGUGUUAUGUUAUUUCUAUCUUGUUCAAUCCGUGUGUGCGUAUAUCAUAUACGGUCAAGAUUGAGUGCAUUCCACUACUCCCAAUACAACAGGCGCCAACAAGGCUGCCAAUACAAAGCUCAAAGUACAACCAUGAACCCUUACAACAUUAGGUGCAUGAUAGUAGUGUCCAAUCUGACCUAUAAAUUUGCUUCUACACAACUUGCCUGUUUUAA